rfam:Pseudomonas stutzeri strain 28a24, complete genome.
CUUAUCCGACACCCACUCCUGCCCCAUCCCCGGUCACGGUUCCAACCCCAUGGCGGUUGGUUCCCCGGACGU